UGUUUUAUAGUUUAUUUUAAAACAUUAAUUUUGUAAAUUAAAGAAAAAUUUUAUAUUUUAAAGCAA
rnacentral:tRNA from 1 species